rnacentral:rRNA from 1 species
CACGGGGGGAGCAAGCGUUGUUCGGAAUCACUGGGCGUAAAGGGCGUGUAGGCGGUCAAGUAAGUGGAAUGUGAAAGCCCCCGGCUUACCCGGGGAUCUGCAUCCCAAACUGCUUGGCUUGAGUACGGGAGAGGAUGAGGGAAUUCCUGGUGUAGCGGUGAAAUGCGUAGAUAUCAGGAGGAACACCGGUGGCGAAGGCGCUCAUCUGGCCCGAUACUGACGCUGAGGAGCGAAAGCGUGGGGAGCGAACAGG